rnacentral:rRNA from 1 species
UAGUCAUAUGCUUGUCUCAAAGAUUAAGCCAUGCAUGUCUAAGUAUAAACUACUUUAUACGGUGAAACUGCGAAUGGCUCAUUAAAACAGUUAUAGUUUAUUUGAUAGUCCUUACUACAUGGAUACCCGUAGUAAUUCUAGAGCUAAUACAUGCGCAAAGACCCGACUUCACGGAAGGGUUGUAUUUAUUAGAUACAAAACCAAUUCGCUUCGGCGACUUGUGGUGAAUCAUAAUAACUGAUCGAAUCGCAGAGCCUUCGGGCGGCGAUGAAUCAUU